rnacentral:rRNA from 1 species
CCUACGGGUGGCAGCAGUGGGGAAUAUUGGACAAUGGGGGGAACCCUGAUCCAGCCAUGCCGCGUGUGUGAAGAAGGCCCUCGGGUGGUAAAGCACUUUCAGUGAGGAAGAACGCCUGGUGGUUAAUACCCAUCAGGAAAGACAUCACUCACAGAAGAAGCACCGGCUAACUCCGUGCCAGCAGCCGCGGUAAUACGGAGGGUGCGAGCGUAAUCGGAAUUACUGGGCGUAAAGCGCGCGUAGGUGGCUUGAUAAGCCGGUUGUGAAAGCCCCGGGCUCAACCUGGGAACGGCAUCCGGAACUGUCAAGCUAGAGUGCAGGAGAGGAAGGUAGAAUUCCCGGUGUAGCGGUGAAAUGCGUAGAGAUCGGGAGGAAUACCAGUGGCGAAGGCGGCCUUCUGGACUGACACUGACACUGAGGUGCGAAAGCGUGGGUAGCAAACAGGAUUAGAUACCCCAGUAGUC